rnacentral:misc_RNA from 1 species
UGCCUGUUCGAGCGUCAUUUACACCACUCAAGCCUGGCUUGGUAUUGGGGUUCGCUCACUAGCGGCCCCUAAACUCAGUGGCGGUGCCGGUUGGCUCUUCGCGUAGUAAUUCUCUCGCGAUAGGGUCCGUCGGUCACCUGCCAGCAACCCCAACUUCUAAGGUUGACCUCGGAUCAGGUAGGGAUACCCGCUGAACUUAA